AUAGAAAACUUACGAGAAAUCAUGGUGGGCAUGCACCAUAGAUAAGAUUGUAGGCACCCACUUAUCCUCCCUCCAUUUGAAUACAAACAGGGCGAUAACUCUUGUCCUCAUCCACAUCAGGAUAAAUCUCCUUCAAAUUCAAAUGGGUUUUUAUCCCAAUCCUCUCAAAUCAAAUUUGAACUAUUCAAAUUCAAAUGAAUUUUAUCCCUAUCCUCUCUCCCUAUCCACAAGGUAGCGCUACCCCUUGGAUCUUAUCCAUUUGGGGUGCCCCUCUUCCUGCAAACAAAACAACAAAGAAAAAGUGGGGCGCCAACUAUCCCCAACCAUGCCAC
rnacentral:lncRNA from 1 species